GGGCGUAAAGCGUGCGCAGGCGGUCCGCUAAGACAGAUGUGAAAUCCCCGGGCUUAACCUGGGAACUGCAUUUGUGACUGGCGGGCUAGAGUAUGGCAGAGGGGGGUAGAAUUCCACGUGUAGCAGUGAAAUGCGUAGAGAUGUGGAGGAAUACCGAUGGCGAAGGCAGCCCCCUGGGCCAAUACUGACGCUCAUGCACGAAAGCGUGGGGAGCAAACAGGAUUAGAUACCCUGGUAGUCCACGCCCUAAACGAUGUCAACUAGUUGUUGGGGAUUCAUUUCCUUAGUAACGUAGCUAACGCGUGAAGUUGACCGCCUGGGGAGUACGGUCGCAAGAUUAAAACUCAAAGGAAU
rnacentral:rRNA from 1 species